ACUGAGACACUGUCCGACACCUACGGGUGCUGCAGUCGAGAUCUUCCGCAAUGGGCGAAAGCCUGACGGAGCGACGCCGCGUGCGGGAUGAAGGCCCUUGGGUUGUAAACCGCUGUCAGAGGGGAUGAAAUCAUGGUAGGCAAUCCUUCCAUGUUGACAAAGCCUCAGAGGAAGCACGGGCUAAGUACGUGCCAGCAGCCGCGGUAACACGUACUGUGCGAACGUUAUUCGGAAUCACUGGGCUUAAAGGGUAUGUAGGCGGUUAAUCAAGUCAGAUGUGAAAUGCCACAGCUCAACUGUGGCACUGCGUUUGAAACUGAUUGGCUAGAGUAUUCCAGAGGUGUGCGGAACUGCCAGUGGAGCGGUGAAAUGCGUUGAUAUUGGCAGGAACACCAGAGGCGAAGGCGGCACACUGGGGGAUAACUGACGCUGAGAUACGAAAGCCAGGGUAGCGAACGGGAUUAGAUACCCCGGUAGUCCUGGCUGUAAACGAUGAGCACUGGGCGAGAGGCGAUUCGUCGCUUUUUGCCGUAGCGAAAGCAUUAAGUGCUCCGCCUGGGGAGUAUGGUCGCAAGGCUGAAACUCAAAGGAAUUGACGGGGGCUCACACAAGCGGUGGAUGAUGUGGCUUAAUUCGAGGCAACGCGAAGAACCUUAUCCUGGACUUGACAUGCUUGGAUUAACUCUGUGAAAGCAGAGCCACACCUUCGGGUGGAACUUGCACAGGUGCUGCAUGGCUGUCGUCAGCUCGUGUCGUGAGACGUCGCGUUAAGUCGCUUAACGAGCUACAACCUUGUCCUUAGUGCCAGCACGUUUGACGGGACGUAACUGACCGAAUCAACCU
rnacentral:rRNA from 1 species